rnacentral:tRNA from 1 species
UAGCUCAGUGGAUAGAGUGUCAGCCUGCAGACUGAAGGGUCCCAGGUUCAAUUCCUGG